GCGGCAGUAGCUCAGUUGGUAGAGCGCAACCUUGCCAAGGUCGAGAGUUCGAGACUCUUCUGCCGCUCCA
rnacentral:tRNA from 1 species